rnacentral:rRNA from 3 species
GAGCAAUCUGUGUGACUGCGUACCUUUUGUAUAAUGGGUCAGCGACUUAUAUUCUGUAGCAAGGUUAACCGAAUAGGGGAGCCGAAGGGAAACCGAGUCUUAACUGGGCGUUAAGUUGCAGGGUAUAGACCCGAAACCCGGUGAUCUAGCCAUGGGCAGGUUGAAGGUUGGGUAACACUAACUGGAGGACCGAACCGACUAAUGUUGAAAAAUUAGCGGAUGACUUGUGGCUGGGGGUGAAAGGCCAAUCAAACCGGGAGAUAGCUGGUUCUCCCCGAAAGCUAUUUAGGUAGCGCCUCGUGAAUUCAUCUCCGGGGGUAGAGCACUGUUUCGGCAAGGGGGUCAUCCCGACUUACCAACCCGAUGCAAACUGCGAAUACCGGAGAAUGUUAUCACGGGAGACACACGGCGGGUGCUAACGUCCGUCGUGAAGAGGGAAACAACCCAGACCGCCAGCUAAGGUCCCAAAGUCAUGGUUAAGUGGGAAACGAUGUGGGAAGGCCCAGACAGCCAGGAUGUUGGCUUAGAAGCAGCCAUCAUUUAAAGAAAGCGUAAUAGCUCACUGGUCGAGUCGGCCUGCGCGGAAGAUGUAACGGGGCUAAACCAUGCACCGAAGCUGCGGCAGCGACGCUGAUGCGUUGUUGGGUAGGGGAGCGUUCUGUAAGCCUGUGAAGGUGUGCUGUGAGGCAUGCUGGAGGUAUCAGAAGUGCGAAUGCUGACAUAAGUAACGAUAAAGCGGGUGAAAAGCCCGCUCGCCGGAAGACCAAGGGUUCCUGUCCAACGUUAAUCGGGGCAGGGUGAGUCGACCCCUAAGGCGAGGCCGAAAGGCGUAGUCGAUGGGAAACAGGUUAAUAUUCCUGUACUUGGUGUUACUGCGAAGGGGGGACGGAGAAGGCUAUGUUGGCCGGGCGACGGUUGUCCCGGUUUAAGCGUGUAGGCUGGUUUUCCAGGCAAAUCCGGAAAACUAAGGCUGAGGCGUGAUGACGAGGCACUACGGUGCUGAAGCAACAAAUGCCCUGCUUCCAGGAAAAGCCUCUAAGCAUCAGGUAACAUCAAAUCGUACCCCAAACCGACACAGGUGGUCAGGUAGAGAAUACCAAGGCGCUUGAGAGAACUCGGGUGAAGGAACUAGGCAAAAUGGUGCCGUAACUUCGGGAGAAGGCACGCUGAUAUGUAGGUGAAGUCCCUCGCGGAUGGAGCUGAAAUCAGUCGAAGAUACCAGCUGGCUGCAACUGUUUAUUAAAAACACAGCACUGUGCAAACACGAAAGUGGACGUAUACGGUGUGACGCCUGCCCGGUGCCGGAAGGUUAAUUGAUGGGGUCAGCGCAAGCGAAGCUCUUGAUCGAAGCCCCGGUAAACGGCGGCCGUAACUAUAACGGUCCUAAGGUAGCGAAAUUCCUUGUCGGGUAAGUUCCGACCUGCACGAAUGGCGUAAUGAUGGCCAGGCUGUCUCCACCCGAGACUCAGUGAAAUUGAACUCGCUGUGAAGAUGCAGUGUACCCGCGGCAAGACGGAAAGACCCCGUGAACCUUUACUAUAGCUUGACACUGAACAUUGAGCCUUGAUGUGUAGGAUAGGUGGGAGGCUUUGAAGUGUGGACGCCAGUCUGCAUGGAGCCGACCUUGAAAUACCACCCUUUAAUGUUUGAUGUUCUAACGUUGACCCGUAAUCCGGGUUGCGGACAGUGUCUGGUGGGUAGUUUGACUGGGGCGGUCUCCUCCUAAAGAGUAACGGAGGAGCACGAAGGUUGGCUAAUCCUGGUCGGACAUCAGGAGGUUAGUGCAAUGGCAUAAGCCAGCUUGACUGCGAGCGUGACGGCGCGAGCAGGUGCGAAAGCAGGUCAUAGUGAUCCGGUGGUUCUGAAUGGAAGGGCCAUCGCUCAACGGAUAAAAGGUACUCCGGGGAUAACAGGCUGAUACCGCCCAAGAGUUCAUAUCGACGGCGGUGUUUGGCACCUCGAUGUCGGCUCAUCACAUCCUGGGGCUGAAGUAGGUCCCAAGGGUAUGGCUGUUCGCCAUUUAAAGUGGUACGCGAGCUGGGUUUAGAACGUCGUGAGACAGUUCGGUCCCUAUCUGCCGUGGGCGCUGGAGAACUGAGGGGGGCUGCUCCUAGUACGAGAGGACCGGAGUGGACGCAUCACUGGUGUUCGGGUUGUCAUGCCAAUGGCACUGCCCGGUAGCUAAAUGCGGAAGAGAUAAGUGCUGAAAGCAUCUAAGCACGAAACUUGCCCCGAGAUGAGUUCUCCCUGACUCCUUGAGAGUCCUGAAGGAACGUUGAAG